rnacentral:rRNA from 1 species
AACGACGCUGGCGGCAUGCCUAAUACAUGCAAGUCGAACGAUCACUUCGGUGGUAGUGGCGCACGGGUGCGUAACGCGUGGGAAUCUGCCCUUGGGUUCGGAAUAACAGCGGGAAACUGCUGCUAAUACCGGAUGAUGACGAAAGUCCAAAGAUUUAUCGCCCAAGGAUGAGCCCGCGUAGGAUUAGGUAGUUGGUGAGGUAAAGGCUCACCAAGCCGACGAUCCUUAGCUGGUCUGAGAGGAUGAUCAGCCACACUGGGACUGAGACACGGCCCAGACUCCUACGGGAGGCAGCAGUAGGGAAUAUUGGACAAUGGGGGCAACCCUGAUCCAGCAAUGCCGCGUGAGUGAUGAAGGCCUUAGGGUUGUAAAGCUCUUUUACCCGAGAUGAUAAUGACAGUAUCGGGAGAAUAAGCUCCGGCUAACUCCGUG